rnacentral:rRNA from 1 species
AUUGAACGCUGGCGGCAGGCCUAACACAUGCAAGUCGAACGGUAACAGGAAGCAGCUUGCUGCUUCGCUGACGAGUGGCGGACGGGUGAGUAAUGUCUGGGAAGCUGCCUGAUGGAGGGGGAUAACUACUGGAAACGGUAGCUAAUACCGCAUAAUGUCGCAAGACCAAAGAGGGGGACCUUCGGGCCUCUUGCCAUCGGAUGUGCCCAGAUGGGAUUAGCUUGUUGGUGGGGUAACGGCUCACCAAGGCGACGAUCCCUAGCUGGUCUGAGAGGAUGACCAGCCACACUGGGACUGAGACACGGUCCAGACUCCUACGGGAGGCAGCAGUGGGGAAUAUUGCACAAUGGGCGCAAGCCUGAUGCAGCCAUGCCGCGUGUAUGAAGAAGGCCUUCGGGUUGUAAAGUACUUUCAGCGGGGAGGAAGGGAGUAAAGUUAAUACCUUUGCUCAUUGACGUUACCCGCAGAAGAAGCACCGCUAACUCCGUG